GCAAGUAUAAUCAAACAUCAAUCAAAUUCAAUCAAAAUUAUAAAGGAAGUAUGUAAAAAAUGCAAGGUAUUUUUAAAGACCCUUUAAAGAAACCAUAAAGAAAUAACAUAGAAAUUCAAAAAUAUACUAAAAUAUAAAUCUUAAUAAAAUAUUAAAAUAGAAGUCUUAAUUAAAUCCUAAUCAAAUUCUAAUCAAAUCCUAAUCAAAUUCUAAUCAAAACUUAAUCAAAUCUUAAUCAAAUCAUAAUCAAAUCCUAAUCAAAUCUUAAUCAAAAUCUAAUAAAAUCUUAACCAAUUCCUCACUAAAUCCUAAUCAAAUUAUAACCAAAUCCUAAUCAAAUCUAAAUAAAUCCUAAUUAAAUCUUAAUAAAUCCUAAUCAAAUCCUAAAAAAACCUUAAUCAAAUCUUAACCAAAUCCUAGUCAAAUCCUAACCAAACCCUAAUCAAUUAUAAAUAAAUCCUAGUCAAAUCUUAAACAAAUCCUAAUCAACUCCUAAUAAAUCCUAAAAAAAUCAUAAAUAAAUAUAAAAAAACUUAAAUAAACC
rnacentral:lncRNA from 1 species